rnacentral:rRNA from 1 species
CGGACAGAAGGGAGCUUGCUCCCGGAUGUUAGCGGCGGACGGGUGAGUAACACGUGGGUAACCUGCCUGUAAGACUGGGAUAACUCCGGGAAACCGGAGCUAAUACCGGAUAGUUCCUUGAACCGCAUGGUUCAAGGAUGAAAGACGGUUUCGGCUGUCACUUACAGAUGGACCCGCGGCGCAUUAGCUAGUUGGUGAGGUAACGGCUCACCAAGGCGACGAUGCGUAGCCGACCUGAGAGGGUGAUCGGCCACACUGGGACUGAGACACGGCCCAGACUCCUACGGGAGGCAGCAGUAGGGAAUCUUCCGCAAUGGACGAAAGUCUGACGGAGCAACGCCGCGUGAGUGAUGAAGGUUUUCGGAUCGUAAAGCUCUGUUGUUAGGGAAGAACAAGUGCAAGAGUAACUGCUUGCACCUUGACGGUACCUAACCAGAAAGCCACGGCUAACUACGUGCCAGCAGCCGCGGUAAUACGUAGGUGGCAAGCGUUGUCCGGAAUUAUUGGGCGUAAAGGGCUCGCAGGCGGUUUCUUAAGUCUGAUGUGAAAGCCCCCGGCUCAACCGGGGAGGGUCAUUGGAAACUGGGAAACUUGAGUGCAGAAGAGGAGAGUGGAAUUCCACGUGUAGCGGUGAAA